rnacentral:lncRNA from 1 species
AUAUAUAUAUAUGAGUGUAUGUGCUAGAUUUAGGCAACAUAUUAUGAAAGACUCCUAAAUUCUUUGAAUUUCAUACUCCUUCUCUGUCUCUCUUUAUCUUGAAAGCGAAGAAAAGUAGAAGAGCAAUAUAAAAGUAAAGACAGAAAGAUUAAAAAAGAGGUAAAGAAGAAAGGAAGAGGAAAGGAAAAGGAUGGGAAUGAAAGAAAAUGGUGAGGU